UUUUAUUCACGGUCAAGAGGGGUUACCCCAUCUCUGUUGCCUCUCACUGUCUGAAUGUACAGGCUUAGGAAAUGAGAAACAAACUGAUAGACAGGGGGAGGAUAGAGUUUUCUCUCCUCUGUUUGUUAAAGCACGUCCUUCCUGUAAUUAUCUGAAAGUGCCCACACACACACGAUGUGCAGCAUUUCUCAACUCAACCAGGGGAGGUUUCUUUCCUUGAACCCUCGCACUCACCGUACAAAGAGUCAAUAAGCUUUUGAUAUGUCUGUGUGGAUUUGUGGGUUGAGUCCUCACUAUUUGUCAUAGCCGUCUAUAGCAUGUCACACGCCAACAGCAGAAGUCUCCCUGGUGGUAUCCCUGACAGGCUCUUGAUCAGUCUUCAGUGUUUCUGAAUUGCUGAAUUUGGACUGGUUCCUGUAAACUCAUGCAAGCCUCUCUGUUUGCCAGUGGUUGUACAGCUUCCCAGACACCGUGCAAGUCCUGAGAGUAGCCAUUCUGACAGAUGUCUUAGUCAUCUCAUAACAGUUACAUUGGCUACAUGUCUUGGACAGUUUUUUGUUUCACGUGCAUAUUGAAGGCAUUAGUAUGAUCUGUCCGCAGGUAAGGUACCACAUGAGUUGCCUCUGAAUCCUGAAGCCUGAGAAUGAAGUACACCGCUGUCCCAGUCUCCCCCACCUCCAUCCCCGUCUUCUGACCCCCUUGGUCCUGCUCUUGUGGACAAGCACGUUUGUUAUGUCUGUUUGUGAAGGGAACAGGGACACAGUUUCCAAGAAGGAGCGAUAGGAGGGAGAUAUCUGAUAUGUUGCUGAAUGAGCGGGGUCAGGUUGGCUAUUCUGAAAAUGUUGGAAAACACAUCUGUGUGACAUGCUGGGUAGAUUUUCAACAUCACAGUAUGUUGUCUCGCCUGCCAUGUGCGUGAUGUUGUAAGGUCCCAUCUGUGUUCACAGCAAGCAGUAAUCACUUAAGGAGGCCAAAGUAAAUUUUAAUCUUAAUCUGCAGGUUCCUUAAAUGAAUGCUAUAUACUGGUUUCAAAAAGAAUAUCAAACUCCAGCCUCUUUCCCAAAAUAUAAAGUCAGUUUUUUUUUUCCCACAAGAGGUUUGGGUCUCGUCUGUUUUUUACGAGUUCAAUUUUAACUCUUGAGGUUUUCUAACAUUUCCCCACAUGCAUGACACAUUCGUUCGUGAAGAAAUAUGAACAGUUUCUUUGUAACCAUUACAGAGGGAUACUUAAAAAAUCCCAACAUAACAAUGUCUCAAAGGGUGUCUGCAAGCGACAAAAUAACCCAGAGGUCUGUCAUAAUCACAGGAAGCCCAAGAAUGCAGCGACCAGCUAGCCAGAUAUCAUGGUGAUGGGACCAGUAUUUUGAUUAGACCCACACAAUUUGUUUGUUUUGAUGCUUGUCUGCAUCUUGUCAGAUUACCACCAGCCAAACACAAGUCAAGACUGCAGGUGGUGGGGUAGACUGCACUAUAGGGUGCCUUUUUUUUUUUUGGAAGAUUGGCCUUGGAAAAUCUGCUGUGGGGAAUUUGUGUGAAAUUUUGUGGCAGUUUGUCACUGCGGACGCAUCUGUUUUUAAAAACGUCAGGAAAAGCUCGUGUUUGUGCAAAAUGCCAAAAGUAGUAACUGUCUGAGAAAUAUGAGAAAUACAAGCCCGUUCUUUGAGUGUCUGUGCAAUACCACAACACAAAUUACUGUAUGUCUCUGUGUUUAGGUUUCAUACUGAAACUACACCAACUGGCUGUGUACUUUUGUGUGCACAAGUGGGUGGAAUACCAAAACUUAAACCUCUGUGGUGUGUUUUUUUUUGUUUGCUUCAAAUUUUCCUUUUUCUUACUAUAAGACCCUGUCAUUGCUACUGUAUUUCAUCUUCUGCUGAGUCCAGGAUCAGGAUGCUUCACUGUGUGUUUUUCUGCCCGUGGUGGCUCUCUGACUCAUGCUGAAUGGAGGCCAGUUCAGAGAGGCAGAUGAUAGCCGGAAAACACCAACCCUGCCCACUCAGUAAUCCUGCCACUCCCUGCUAUCCUCCUCCUACUGGCCGACUUUACCAGGCCCAUCACAGCACAGAAAAAACACUGCUCUCAGUAAAGGAGACACUCUUAAAGUCCUUGACUGUUUGUAUCCAGGACUUUUGUAGGAGAUCUGAGGGUUCGUAUGAUCAAGGAAAAAUCAUUUGAAAACAGCAAUUCCCAGGCCUGGAGAAGUUUUGGAAAAGUAAAUAAAGUCAUGGAAAUUUUGCUUCACAAAUACCUGUAUAAUAGAGUAUAUGUGAGAAAAAUCUAUAUUGGUCAAACAAUAGGGUUGGGCCAAUGUAAAAAUUUUCAAACAGGUUUGAUAUUAAGUCAAAAACUGGACUCAGAUGUUUACAAUUUGAAUGUUGGCCCUAUGGAACCUAGUCUCCAGGUCAUGGAGGUGGUCCAGGAGUGAAUUAUUCUGUGUCUGCAGUGAAUUUAUGGUGGUUUCAGCUGCGGUGAGUCUUUCAAAAUUUUCCCCAGCCAAUGCCUCUGUGUGGUCGAGGCGGCUCGGGGAAGCAUUUAUUUGUUCGCAAAGUGAGUCUACGGAGGACAGGAUGGAUUGACGUCUUAAUCAGGGUAGACAUAUCUUCUCUGAGACUGCCUCGCUGUCUGUCCAGCUCCGUCAUCAGGUGGUCUGAGUACUAACGUUAAUGUAAUACAAGUUGGAUUUAGAGGAAUCAGGAGAGGUUGCUGAUGUAGGCUGGUUUUUACUUUGCCAGAACAUCUCAUAAUGACAAAUGCUGGUUGUGAUGACCCCCCGAGUCAUCUCGUGUUGUUUUGUGGUUCACCUGUCUCUUUGUUCACCCUGCAAGUGGAUCAUUAGGGUAAUCUGGAACACCUGGGGGCCCUGGGCUGUUCCCAGGUUAUUCAAGCCUGGCUGCAGUGCAUCUUCCUCCCUGUCUGCCAUUCUGCCUCGCGGCUGCUGCAGCUGCAGCUCUCUCUUCCUUUCCCCUUUAGGCAACCAUUUGUUUGAUUUAGUACGUUGUGCUAAUUUAUUCUUAUGACUUUGUUUUGCACCUUACAACACACACACACAUCUCACACUCAUGCAUGCCAUACACUACUGAUGCUACUGAUAUCUACACCCCAAACAAGGGACCAUUUCGGGUGCUGUGUAUCUAUGUACUUUUGGACUGGCUCCUUCUUUUGAGAAACUGACUUUGUCCAAAGUAUUGAAGCAAAGAUUGUAUGUCAUCUUAUGUUAUGAAAGCCUGAACCACUUUUUACAGGCUAAACAGUUAGACAUGCAUGUCAGGCGAUGGCACAGGCCCGAGGUGAAGACUAAAUACAUCAGCUCAAGAUAUCACUGAGAAAAUGAGGAACUGACUUUCAGGGAUCAGAAUCAUGAAUCUCAUCCAUCUCAUCUCAUCAAAUCUCAAUGGAUGAGCUCAUCUUGAAUUGGAAAGUGUUUGAAGUACUCCAGAAGCAAAUGCAGAACGAUGUGAGGAAGUCACUAAUCAGCAUCGGUUCGUGCGGGUUGCACAUACUGCCCAAUGUGUUCAGAGAUAGAUGUAAACCCACCGGAUGGGAAGUUGAACACGGACUCUCUAGCCUGUACUGGCUGGUCCACGAUCGUCCUGCCUGUCACAGGGAUUUUAUGACAGCAACUGGAUGUAACACGCCCAUGCUUAAGUUUUGCAAGCACCAGUGGAUUGAGAAUGUCAACGUGUCACAGAGGAUUGCUACUCUGGCCGCGUGUCAAACACUAUAUCGAGAUGGUAGGGAGAGGUGAACUACCCGAUCCAAAAGUGAAAGUGGGAAUAUUGCAAUUGCAAGAGAAAUCAACCCCUUCCUUACCAUGUAUCAAGCAGACCUUCCUCUCUGAGGACAUGUACAAACUGAUUAAAGAUUCAGAUUUCUGAAGGAAAAAGACCCGCAAGAGGCCACAUCCACACUGAAGCUCCUCCAUGUCCCUUUUCAGGACAACAAUCUGCACAAGGACAGUUCUCAGAUUGAUAUUGGAUUUGCAGCAGAAGCCACCCUGAUCCAACUCAGGCCUCCCAAAAACAUUUCAGAAGCAGAGACUAGAGAUUUAAGAUGGACUGCAAGAAACUCUUGACCACACUCCUUGAAAAGUUUCUGAAAAAGGCUCCAGUGUAUCACACGUUAGUGAGAAGCAUGCAGUGCCUUGACCUGAGAUGCAUGGCUGAAUCUAAGGAGCUGUGCGUAAGUCAAAUUAAAAGAAUGUCGCACAUACUUGUUGAAGCUAAGACCACAGAUGAGGAAAUGCAUGAUGAUAUCCUCAAAGAGUUUUGGGAGUUCUGUUAUUCGGCUGCUCUUCGGGCUAAAUUCAGGGAAUUUGACCCCAAAACAGAUCGGACACCCUGCUGUCUGAGACAAUGGGGACAAAACCAUAAUUUUCCAGAGUGUGGGAUGUGGUCAAGAUUCUACUUGUCUCGUGGACAGACCAGUGUUGAGAGAGGAUUUUUCCAUUAACAAAUAAUUGUUUGUGGUGAAACAGAAGAAGUCUCUGUUGGCUCAGAGGCUCAUUGUUGACCAUGUCAGGUCUUUUGGGGGCAAAACUACGGUAGAGAUCACAGAAGAGCUGCUCCUUUUAGCUGCAGGAACCAGGCAGAAGUACCAUGGCUACCAGGAUGAAGAGAAGAGAAAGACUGUUGACCUGAAGCCACAAGCAAACUGACCUUCAUCACCAAAUGUAGUUUCCGUCAAACCGCAAAAGAAAAAAAAGCUGCUGAAGAUUGAAAAGCAUAUUGAUGAGAAGCUUGCAGAAAUGAAAAAAUAAACUGUGUGGAUUGUUUUGGGGGGAUUCAAACAGGGAAGGUUAUCUUCUGUUAAUGCUCAAUGAGGUUAAUGGUAAAUAGGAGGCAUAGUUGGUUUAAAAUGUUAUUAUGUAUUCAAAAACACAAUUUCUUUCUGAAACUACGGCACUUUGAAGUUAAUGUCAGUGUUAGUGGGCACUUUUAUUUCUUUAUUUAUUUUUCAAGCAUUGUUUCCUCCCAGUCAUUUAUGUUAAUUAGGGCUACACAAUGGAGUUCUUAGGGUUUGAGGACAUUUUAUUCUGUAAACCUAUUACUGGUGUGUCAGCAGUACUUAAAUAAAUGUUUAUUUUGUAUCAAA